rnacentral:rRNA from 1 species
ACGGCCAUACCACCCUGAACGCUCCUGAUCUUGUCUGACCUCGGAAGCUAAGCAGGGUUGGGCCUGGUUGGUACCUGGAUGGGAGACCAUAAAAUACCAAAUGUUAAAAGUA